rnacentral:misc_RNA from 1 species
AGUUAAACAGUACGUGAAAUUGUUGAAAGGGAAACGAUUGAAGUCAGUCGUGCUGGCGCGAAAUCAACCCUCUCGUCGAGAGGUCACAUGGCGUGGCGAGCCUCAAAACCGUCGCGAAGCGUGAACUCUUGGUGAAAUGGAGCACUUUCGUGUCCGCUGGUUAACAUCAAUUUCGAUCGUCAUAAAAAGGCUGGAGGGAUGUGGCUCCUUCGGGAGUGUUAUAACCUUUAGCGGAAUGUGGUGGCCGGGAUUGAGGAUUGCAACGAAUACCUUUAGGGCUGUUCCACCUGGCUUCUCUUUGGUAUCCUGGUGACGACAGCUUGCUGACGUCGUUAGGAUUCGCCUUUGAACAGGUUAGAGUGUGAGCAAAUUCGUUAAGGAUGUUAACGUAAUGGCUUUAAA